rnacentral:rRNA from 1 species
UACAUGAGUGGCUAGCAUUAUCCGUAAUUCUUGGACGUAUAGGAUGUGUAGAUGUAAAAAAUAAUUAAGAAAUACUAAAACAAAUGUGGGUUUUUCUUAAUAUGUUUUUUAUUGAGUAUAAAAGAGGUAAUUAACAUUUAAAAAUUAGUGAUUAAAUACAACCAGUUUUUAAGGAUUACCAAUAACGAAGGUAAAUUACUAUUUUAUACUGACGUUAAUACAUGAAAGUGUGGGUAAUGACCAGGAUUCGGGACCCUGUUAGUCCACACCCUAAAAAAUGAGUAUUAAAUUUAUAGGUUUAUGAAUUUUUUCUAACGAAAAAUACUCCGUCUGGGUAGUAAUAUCGCAAGGUCGAAACUUAAUCAAAUUGGCGGGAAUUUGUUCAAACGGUGGAGCAUGUGGUUUAAUUCGAUGAUCCGCGAAAAAUCUUACCAACGCGAUUUUGUUAAAUUAAAAUUAAUAAUAGUUUAUUAAAUUAACAAUUUAAUAUAGGUAUUGCAUGGCUGUCGUCAGUUCGUGUUGUGAGAUGUAAGAUUAAGUUCUUUUACGAACGCAACCCUCAAAUUUAGUUUUAAUGGUUUUUUUAAACUAUUUUCUAAAUUAAGUUUUGUAUUUUAUAUUAAAAAUACGAAAAGGUAGUUAGAGGCUGAAGUCAAGUCCUUAUGGUCUAUGUGCGUUGGGCUACACACGUGCUACAAAGGUAAAAACAAAAAGUAACGAAGGUGUAAACCUGAGUUAAUCUUAAAAAAUUACCCCAGUUCAGAUUAUUCUCUGAAAUUUGAGAAUAUGAAGUUGGAAUCGUUAGUAAUCGUAAAUUAGUAUGUUACGGUGAAUGAAAAGUCAAAUUUUGCACACACCGCCCAUCACGCCCGGAAAGUAACCUCGGUAGUAAAAUUUUUUUAGGUUAGUAUUGAUAAUUUUUUCUUAUAAUUAACACGAAAAUUGUAUACCGUGGUUGUUAUUUGGGUGAAG